rnacentral:ncRNA from 1 species
GCGUCACAACGGCUUCCUGACGUGACGUGAUUUACACCAAUGGAGCG